UUAGAAACAAAAUAGAAUCCUUGUAAAUUCAACAGAACUAUCCCCAAAUGAACAAUUCUAUACCAAAGUUCUGUGUAAAUUCCAAUCAUUUCCAAUCCCCACAGAGGCAGGUUCAAUAGUUCCCCUGUAGAGGAUCUUUAGAGGGCUAUUCUCUGUUAAUGGCUCAUUACCCUUUGCCACUGGAAUUGUGACUCCAGUGGUAUAACUCCCUCUUAGGUUCCCAAGUACUUUCAGAAGCUGUUAGCUGGCUUUGCUCUCCCUUGUGGCUCAUCUACGGUUGCCCCCAACAAGGGAACUCAGGAAGUAGAAAGUCAUCCCUCAGCACAAUGAAUACCAAUGGUGAAGAAAACUCAUCCAGUAUUACAGAAAUAGAAGAUAAAAAAGAGACAACAGAAUCAGUAAACUCAGAAGAUAAUGCAGAUGGCACACAGAAUGUGCUGGCUAAGGAAAGUUCAUUGUUUUGUCCGCUCUCAAAAUUGUUUCUUUCUGCUGACGCUUUGAUAAAGGAAAAUGAAAAAUCCCAUAACUUAAAAAAGCAUGAGAUUUCCAUUACAGAAGCAAAGAACUAUCUUCUUCGAGUCUUAAACAUCAUAUCACUAGAAACACUGGGUCAAGAAGAACCACUAGAGCCUACUCAGCCUGUUGUCUUAAAGAGCAAGAGUACUAUUUGUGACCCAAUAGGAAUGAUGAAAAUCCUACGCCAUAACUUAUUAUCAGCACCCACAUCAAGUGACAAGAGUGAAAAGAGCCCAAUGCCCCUCAAAGCAUUUGCCCCCCUUGACAAAUUCCCCUCUCCAAUGCACAUUUUUCCUUAUGAGUUGCUUGCCCAACAUUGUCUUCCUUUCUUGGUACCUUUCAUAGUAAGAGAUGAUAUUAGGAAGAAGAAGAUUUUGUGCAGGAUAGUCCUUUUCAAUAUUGUCCCUCCCAAAGGAAAAGUCUUCAGACCACAAGGAAAAAGACAAAAACAUUUUGAAAAAUUGCGCCAUCCAGAAAAACAAUUUAUGGAUCUGAAAGACCUCCAGCGGAAAUAUUAUAAGGGCUUGUUGAAAUGGAAAAAGAAACCCCUGCCUACGUUCAAGGAAAUAAUUCCUAUUAUUGAAAAGACAUAUGUACCUGAAAUGCUCUCGAUGGAUUAUAAAGUCAAUCAGAAGUAAUAAUCCAAAUGUACCAUAAAAAGUGGGUUGUUUGUGUUAAGUAAAACCUUCCAUUAAAUAAAAUGGUGCACAUCUGUGAUUGAUUUUGAGAUGAUUGAAAUUAAAUAGAUAACGAAGUAAAUCUUUCUGUCUUAGGAAGCCCACAAUCUCUAAAGUGAGAAUAGUAACUCUUCACUGAAUUUCACUAGUUUGGGACUAGAGUCAGGAAAAUAUCUUUGUUUUCCCCUAGUAAAUUUACUUUUAAUACAAAUUGCUUUGUGAAUCAUGUUGGGAGAGAAAAACCAAAGCAAAAGGGGAAAACUAUGGGAGAGAUUAAAAAAAAAAAAAAAAAAAGAAAAAAAAGAAGUGAACAUAAUAUGAGAUGAUUUACAUUUAGUCUCCUUAGUUCUUUUUCUGGACAUAGAUGGCAUUUUCUGUCCAGAGUUGCUACAGAUUGCUACAGAUCACUGAACUACUUAGAAGAACCAAGUCUUUUAUAGUUGAUCAUCUCACAUUCUUGCUGUUAUUGUGUACAAUGUAUUCCUGGUCCAGACAUUUCUAAAAUCAAUUUAUUCAUUAUUUUUAUAGAACAAUGAUAUUCCAUUACCUUCACAUACUACAACUUGUCCAGCCAUUCCCCAAUUGAUGGGCAUCUAUUCAUUUUCCAAUUCUUUGUUAUGGAAAAAAAAGAACUGCUACAAACAUUUUUGCACAUGUGGAUCCUUUUCCCUCCUUUAAGAUUUCCUUGGGAUACAGACCCAGUAAUGGCACUGCUGGGUCAAAGGGCAUGAACAGUUUUAUAGCCCUUUGGGGCAUAGUUACAAAUUGCUCUCCAGAAUGGAUGGAUCAUUUCACAACUCCACCAACAAUGCAUCAGUGUCCCAGUUUUCCCACAUCCCCUCCAACAUUUAUUAUCUUAAGGAGAUACUUGAGUUUAAAUUUGGCCUCAGACACUAGUUGUGUGACUCUGGGCAAGUCACUUAACCCUAUUUGACCAAGUUUCUUUAUGUAAAAAAAUCAUAAUAACCCUUAUCUCUCAAGGUUGAUGUGAGGA
ensembl:lncRNA